AUGGCAGCCCGGUGCAUGUACCUCCUGCUUGUGCAGGGUCGGGGAAGGGUCCGACCACUUUGGGUCUUUUGUAUAUACUUGAAAUUAGUACCUUAUAUACUACUUUUGAUGGUAGCACAUACCACAAUGAAGAUAAAAAAUGACGUCGGCUAUUCAAAUCAGUUAAAAAAUGUAGUAUAUAAUAGUACAAAACCACAUAUUCUUUUCACAAUAAACAUCAGUAUAAUUUAUAUGUACCAAUUUAUUGCUUCUGGACCAAGAGAAAAUAUUAUGAACUUGAGACAGAAUCGAGUCAGAUUAAAUCUUAUUUAUACGCAGCUGCGUGGUGAGCACAAAACGAACCAUUCUUUCGCCUUUUAA
rnacentral:rRNA from 1 species